GUCCACGCCGUAAACGAUGAUAACUAGCUGUCCGGGCACUUGGUGCUUGGGUGGCGCAGCUAACGCAUUAAGUUAUCCGCCUGGGGAGUACGGUCGCAAGAUUAAAACUCAAAGGAAUUGACGGGGGCCUGCACAAGCGGUGGAGCAUGUGGUUUAAUUCGAAGCAACGCGCAGAACCUUACCAGCCUUUGACAUCCCGCGCUAACCCAAGAGAUUGGGUGUUCCCUUCGGGGACGCGGUGACAGGUGCUGCAUGGCUGUCGU
rnacentral:rRNA from 1 species